rnacentral:rRNA from 1 species
CCUACGGGCGGCAGCAGUGGGGAAUAUUGCACAAUGGGCGAAACCCUGAUGCAGCGACGCCGCGUGUGGGAAGACGGUCCUCUGGCUUGUAAACCACUUUCUCCAGGGACAAAGAUGACGGUACCUGGGGAGGAAGCUCCGGCUAACUACGUACCAGCAGCCGGGGUAGUACGUAGGGAGCGGGCGUUGUCCGGAAUUACUGGGUGUACAGGGAGCGUAGGCGGGGAUGCAAGUGGGGUGUCAAAACUACGGGCUCAACUGGUAGUCGCACUUAAAACUGCAGGUCUUGAGUGAAGUAGAGGCAGGCGGAAUUUGUAGUGUAGCGGUGAAAUGCGUAGAUAUUAGGAGGAACACCAGUUGCGAAGGCGGCCUGCUGGGCUUUUACUGACGCUGAGGCUCGAAAGUGUGGGGAGCAAACAGGAUUAGAUACCCGUGUAGUC